CCCCUAGACGUUCUGGGCUGCACGCGCGCUACAAUAAUACGCACAGCGAGUAUCACCGAGCUCGAAAGGGCAAGGUAAACAAUAGAAAAGGUACUGUAAUGGUUAUAGAUCCUUGUAAUUAUUGAUCUUCAACGAGGAAUUCCUAGUAAGUAUGUGUCAUCAUCACGCACUGAUUACGUCCCUGCCCUUUGUACACACCGCCCGUCGCUCCUACCGAUUGGGUGAGCCGAUGAAACUCUCGGAUGUAGGCUAUUCACAGCCCGCAGAAGAGAUUUGAAUCGUAGCGCUUAGAGGAAGGAGAAGUCGUAACA
rnacentral:rRNA from 1 species